GAAUGAGCAAUUACGGAUGUUAAGCUCUCAAAUUCCCCCUCAUCUUGCACGUUGGACUCGACGAACACUCUCCCACUCUCCCCGCUCUCGUCGUUCCAUUAUCAGGACAAGGUUUAUUGUAAAGUGCUUGAACGAGGGCAUGGGUGUGGACGAUAAUUUGCUUUCCAAUGUUAUACGUCUGAAAUACUGGAGAUACAAGCUGAUGCUCCAAGCUUGCAUGUUCUGUUUGUUCCUGGGAAUCCAGACUAUUAGGAAGUUCAUUAUCUAAUGAAGCAUCCAUGGAAGAAAAACAAGUACGAAGAAUAAUCAGCGAGUAGCUGAAACAUGUUCCAACAAAGAAUAACAAUAAUUUAAUCUUCAUGAGUUGCAC